UUUUUUGAGGAAAAGACUAAUGUUAAUGAAUCCAUAGAACAUCGUCAAACUUUUUGCUAUUUUCGAUAUCAAUAGUGAACAUCAAUAUUCAAUUGAAACCCUAACUUGAAAGACGAAACCCCGAUUCAUUUAUGAAAGACGCAAAACCCUAACUUUCUCUCUCCUUUGAGUCGUUGCCACCAGCGCCGCGCCGUUCAUUUGGCCGGCGUGAAUCGUGAGGUGAGAUAUAGCUGUCUAAGAGCGCUUCGAUGUCGACUUGCAGAACUACUUCCAAGGUAGUAAAUGGUGUUUCGCGGAGAUCGAUGAUGAAGAAACGACCUAUCAACGCAUAGAUCUGGAACUCUCGAUGUCUGAUUUUAUGAGUCGUGGAACAGGCCACAGACCCCCGGUUCCAGAAAGAUGGUCACUUCCAGAAAGAUGGUCACUUCCAGCAGUGGGUGACAGAAAUGCCGUUUUCUGAACUGGUUUCUUGGGCAGUAAAUUCCGUUGGUACUUUACUGGACUCUUUUUUAUUAGAUAAGGAGAAAGGGAUUAUGAGUGGAUAAUGCUAGACUUGCGAAGUGGAGAACGAAGAUCCACUAGUAGAAAAAAGUACAUUUACAACCCCACAUUCGUAGUGCACCUGAUACGUGAAUGUUGCAAGAAGUACUUGGUCAACGCGGGUCAAGAAGUUAAUGAACAAUUCGCAACGUAUUCGAGCCGUGAACGUUAUUAAAAGCUGGAAAAAUAAUAUACAAAAUUAAUCGCAGCAUUCAGAGGUUAGUGUGCGGUGCGAUUAUGUCUUUAAUUGCAACUUGUGCUUUGACUACGUGCUAAGAAAAAGUGGGUUCUAACAUUUCUCUCGAAUCCUCCGCUUGUUUCUCGAAUACGUUUGAUUACGCGCUAAGAAAAAGUACUUCCCCCCCCCCCCUCUCUCUCUAAAUCUCUAUGGAAAUUCCGUUAAAAAAAACUAGUAAAUCUCUCAUUCAUACUUUAUUCCUCUAAAUCUGGGUUCGCGCAUCAAGAAUACCUCAAAAUCUUGGUUUUCACUAUGGAAAUUCCGUUAAAAAAACUAGUAAAUGGAUUCGAGAUUUUUGGUUUUCACUCGAUUUUUUUGGUUUAUUUCUGUAUAUUUGAAUCCUUUGCAAUUCGGAUCUCAUUUCUCCCUGUGCAAUUAUUAUCUAAUUUAUCCCGUGUAAUUAGGUUGUUUCGUUCUCAAAGUUUUGGUUCUUUGGUUCCCUGUUCAUCUCCUUAUUAUUGUCCAACUAGUAGAUCUGUUGUGAUAAAUACAACUCAUAUUAUGUGUUUGAAAAUCUAAUAGUUUUCAAUAAUUUGUAUGAUUUUUUGAGCAUUUAAUUGUAAUUUUUGGAUGCCAAUUUGGGAAAAGUUCUCAGGUCUGUUUGAUUUUGUAUUAUUUGAAUUGGGUGAAAAUCACGUAUAUUCGAAUCACCUGCGACGAGAUUUUCUUUCACCCUUGCGAUUGGAUUAUUUCGUUGUCAAAGUUUUGGUUGUCUGAUAGGAGUGUCCUGUUUAAAUGGUUCUCAUCAAUCUCUGAUAGGCAGGGUUCUGGUUCAAAUGGUUUGUUUCAUUUUGGUUCAAAUCGCAUAAUUCACAGGGGUCAUCACACGAGUGCUUUCGUUGAGAAUCAAUUGAGAGCUCACUAGUCUUGUUUUGGGGUUGCGUUGUUGUUUCUUUCUUUACUGGGUUUGUUGGUGUUGCUCUGUCUGAGAUUUGCUCCUCUGUUCCGGCUAGUCAAGCUUCUUUUGUUGAACUCGCCACUGUUUUUCUAUCUGUUCUUAUUAUUAUUUCUUGUUCUUGAAUAUGAUUGCUUUUUCCAAUUGUGAAUUAUGCUGUUUGCGGGUAAUGGAUGUAAAUACAGAGUCCGGACCCUUUUUUUACCUUAAUUAAUCAUGUCGGAUUGUCUGACACUAGAUGAUACUUCUGACAGUAAUAACGUUGUGGUGUCCGUAGUAAUGUAGCUUAGCUUUCUCUUCCCCUUUUCCUUUUGUGGGUGGGGGUGGGUUAAGGUCCUCUUUAAGAGACUAAAUGGCUUUCACCAGUUGUAGUUCUGACUUUAACUGAACAUUCUUUUCAUUGACAUACUGGUCUAAUGUACUGUUUUCUGUUAGAUGGAUGAAAAUGGCUCCUCUUACGAAGCAAGUUUUAUUAGUUCCGGUAAAAGCUUUGUUCUUUGAAGAUGCUAAUGUUUGAUAAACUCGGGACAGGUAUUUUGCAAGACUUAUGAGUAGAAAUGAAGCCAUACAGAGAACAAAGUUCCUAAUGCAGAAAAGUUUGUCGCAUGGUGCCCCCAGCCCAAAACUGUCCAAAAUAAUAGAAAUUUUAGUAGAUCAUUUCAGUAUGCAUCUCAAUUCUUCAUUUCAUUUUUUGAUCUGGGGUUAUUCUUGGUAUAUAGCAACUUAGAUUCUAUUAGCAUCAUUGCAUCAGCAUGCGUGUCAUUAAUAUGUUUAGUGGACCUAGCUCCUGAACUAUUCUUUCCUUGAGCUAUCUGUCAAAAAUCAUUCGGAGGACAUGCAGUGGUAUCCAUCUUCUGAGUAAGGUAGGGUAUAUGUGCACUGUAAAUCUGCUUCAGGAUAUUAGAAACCAAGGACAUAUUCUUGCAGAAAUUAGACGGCGUCAAUCAGCUGAUUGCAUAAUAUAAGGAGUUAUUUGGGUAGAAAGAAGCCUUUUCCACAUUUGCUUUUACAUUUGUCUUCACAUCACUUCUAGCAUUUAGGUCUUUGUCAUAAGAUGUUCUACAUAUUUACUUACAGCUGAUUCAUCUUCGUUAUAGACUUAUAACUAAUAAAAAACAAUGCUUUCGUUUAUAUUUGGUGACCAAAUUGAACUCAAUAAGACGUUGAGAUAAGUUUUCAUGUUCGAGAGGGAUAGAGAUAGAGUGACUAUGAGACGUUGAGAUAGAGUGACUAUGAGACGUUGAGAUAGAGUGACUAUGAGAUAAGUUUUCAUGUUCUUUAGCGCAGACUAGAAUAAGUAAGCAACUCCAGAGAAGUCUUAUCACAUUCAUGUUUUGCUGUAGAUGUCAAAUUCCUCUGAAAACAGUAAAAACACAAAAAGGCCUAGGUGAUAGGUCUAAGAGUGCCUAAAGGUGUGUAAUUUUGGGAAUAUUUUAUUUCCAAUUAAUUGUUGUUUCGUUGUUUGUCUGGUUGAAUAGUUGAUUUAUUCAGCAUGUUGAUUAUUUCAGAGGUUUUUUCAAUUAUAAUUAUGGAUUUUGCUGAUGGUUUUCGUAUUAGAUCUAGCUAAUUAGAUUAACUAUAUUUGGGAUUGUAGGUUGUAAUCAACUGAUAUUGUUGUACUACUUGUGGUAUCUCGAGGGUUUCAAAUCCUACGUUCAUUGGUGAAUCUCGCAUUAUAUCUUUGUUCCUAGUUGAUGCUUGAUUUUGGUAAAUCUUGAAUUUCAGUUAUUUUGAUGUCUCGUAACUUGUUUGUAGAUACUUCAAGGGGCCAAAACUUCUUGUUGAUUAACUAGACUAUGACUAUUCGUUGGACAUGUGGGCCUUGGUUGUAUGUUUGCUGGAAUGGUGAGUAGUAGUUCUCAUCUUAGACGUGAAUUACUCAGUACGACUCCAUUUUUUUUAUAGAUAUUCCGGAAAGAGGCAUUCUUUUAUGGUCAUGACAAUCAUGACCAACUUGUACAAUUUGCAAAGGUAUGCUUCUUUGCCACACAAAUGAAUUUUAUGGUUCAUAAUUCUUUUUCAUGAUGCUAGGUCUGUUUCUUUUGGCAUUACUGUACCUUUGAAAUUUCACUCGCUGUGGGAAUUGGUUCAGCAAGGAAAGAAAGGCAGGAAACAGCAUUGAAGUGUUGCAAAAGUAGUGAUAGGAGAUAUUUUUACGGGAUAAAAUGCAGUAGCCACUUACAAUAAAGUCUUUCCUAUUGUGAGCUUGUGUUAUCUUACUUAUCUGUAAACCAAGAUUCCAUUUUCCACGUAUACUUCCCCCUUCCCCUGUUUCUAAGUUUGUUCUGUAUGUGACAAAGGUUGACCUGUUAUGACCAUUCUACCGAAACUGAACUUGAAAAUAGAUGGUUUGGUUAAGGUUUUGAAUCCGUUUCAACGGGUUGACAUCAGUGAAAUAUUCAAUCAAUGGUUAGAUUCAUGUUGGAACUUAUUGGCUGAAGUCUAAAUACCUAUUGUUUGUGUGUGCGUGUGCAGAUGUUUGUAUGCACGUGUGUGAUAGUAAACUAAUUGGUGAAUAAUAUUACGCAGCUUCAAUUCAGCAUUUCAGCAUUAUUACACCAGUGAUUUCAAAAAAUUUCCUUUCUAGUAGCAAGACUGGCAGAGGGGUGGGGGGACAUCUAAAAUAGUUUCUUCCUUCGAUGAAAGCUAAGUUAAAGUAGGGCUCCAAAUGGAAGGGAGAAGAGGGAAACCCAAUUGUUGGGAUACAGCUUGAGACUAGACCCUUAUUCUUGUCAAAAACACCAGUGUGGUAUGCUGUGGAGUUUCUUCUGGUAAUUUGCAGGUACUUGUAAGCCCUUCAACUUUACCUAACGGCGGGAAUAUGGUGGCUAGGUAUGCUGUGGAGUCGAGCAAGCAGUUGGCUGCAGGGUUGAUUAAUCUUGGUGACAUGAGCUACAAAACAUUCUCUAAGUAUUGUAAUGAACUUGUUGGGAUGGUGAGUCUUAGAAUGCAAGACCUUGCAAUUCCCAUGCUUUGGAUAAUGUUUUAAGGAUUCCAGAUUAUUCUUCAUGUUUUGUGUAGGAGGAGGAUAAUAAUUUUUGUUUGUUUUUCUCCAUUUUUAUUUCCUUGUGUUUUUUGAGCACAAUAUAAUGGUUUGUUUUUCUUCUUGACAACCAUCCAAUAAGUCUCCUCCACUUAUGUAAAUGUGUACUUUAUGUUUUGAUGAUGACAUUAUGAAGGCUAGUACCUAGUAGGCUAGUAUCUAUGAAUUGUGCAGUAUUUGUUUUUGUAAAAUGAAAUGACUAUUUACAGCGCACACUGUAAAAUAGAAUGCUGCAAAUAACACGUUUUACAAGGCGUGUGAAACAAGGCGCGUUAUAAUUAGUGUCUUUUUAUAACCCAUAGCAAAGAAGGCGCCCUGCCAUUAAUGUUUUUUUGCAGCUUCGCUGCGAAUAAAAGUCUAUUAUUUGCAGCCCCCAUAAUUGCGGCGUUCAAAAGGCUGCAAAAAGCCCUAUUUAGGCGCGCUACAAAUGGUGUUUUUUCUUUCUACUAGUGAUCGAAAAGGGAUAUUGAUCUUCAGUACCCUGCCCCUUAAUUGAAUGACCAUGCGAGGAAGUGGUGGCAGAGGGAGAGGAGCGUAUACUACAAAUGUUGGUCAAGCAGCAAUAAGAGCUAGGCAAGCUUGUGGUGUUGGUCUAGGUCGGCGUGUUAGAGUGAUAGAUUUAGACCCUGAUGUUCCGAAAGAAGGCCUCCCUCAAGUUCCGGAUAUAGAAGUUGCUGGUGCCACUCACAAUCGAGUGAAAGGAUACCAGUGGUUUGGAUAUUAUCGUUUCUUUUACAAUGGUUUGGAUCUUUGUCACUCCAAACGUCAUUACUAUCUCUGAGCUUUCACCGAUCUUCUUGCUUGGAUCUUUGUCACUCAAAAAGUGAACUUUCAGAUCAAUGUAUGUAUGAUUGAGUUGAGUUUUUAAAAUGCAAUGCCCACUUUCACUGGAGGAUUUACUUUUAUUUGACAGCCAUGUUCCAAGCAGAUUUUCUCCCUGGUUUUCUUACUGCCCACUCGUCUAUCACGAGAUCGUCAGCCUUGUGUUCGAUCAAUUUCAUGGUCACCUGUUGGAUUCUCACCUCACAACGGGAAACCUUUCGACAC